CUUUGAGGGGGCUUGGAAUUAUGUGUUCAAUGUCAAGGUUGAAGCAGUUCUCAAACAAUGGAGGCAUGAGAUCAAACAUGAAACCUAUGACAGGUAUGAGGAGGACUGGCAGAGGUUUUUAAACCUCGACGCCCGAGUUGACGAGGUUCAUUUCACAGCUCUCCUCAUGUAUUGGGACAGCGAUGCCUCCAAGAAUAAAUCCACGAAGGGGUCAGAAAAUAGAAGAAAGAAGCUGCAUGACCACCACUUGGGCUCACACUCCUAUGCCAAUCUGGAGGAUGUUUAUUGUCAGGAUACGGGAAAAUCAUUAAUGCCAAUACACUUGAGGGCGAAAGCGGCGU